GUUCAUGAAAGAAACUGGGAGGGAGCAGAGCUGGGACAGGUGACCCAAAGGGAUAUACCACACCCCAGAAUGCCAUGCCCAGUACACAAACUGGGGGAGUUACCCAGAGGGGGCCAAUCUGGGUUUGGGGAGAGGGGUCUGGCAACAGGCAAUGGAUGACCACCCAGAUCAACACUGAAAUUAAUAGGGAGAGAAAGCUGUCACAGGAUUCUGAGUACUGAAUUCCUUUUUACAGGUGGCUACAUCCAUGUCAACAUAAGCCAAAACCCAUAGGAAAGGAAGAAGAUAAGUAAAAUAACUUGGAGAUGUUUCAAAGCAGAGGCCUUACUGUCAAGUUGGAGAGAAAACUGGAGCCACUUGAGCUCAAAGAAGGCCUGGAUACACCUACUUAUUUUGUAUAAUGUGUGUGACAGGAAGCACACUGUCCUGCACGCUAUUUUCCAACAGAAUUUGGAACAUGGAAUCUGAACCAUGUCCUCACUAACUCCUGUGCUUGAAGACUUCCAGGACUUCUAGUGAGUCCUUCAAAGAGCUCUUGACUUGCCUGUUCUGGACUGUAGCUCUGAUGAUACUGUGGUGCACAUCUCCCAGGGAAGACUCCUCCUGGAUGACAUUUAGCAUUUUUCUUUUUCUCUUAUCUAUAAGGAGCAAAUUCUGCAGAUAAACAAACACAUUUUACCAGUCACACAUCCCCAUUUAUUCUUUCCAUGAGUCUGUGCAGACAAGCUCCUCUGGAGCGUAUUUGAUAAUAGUGUGUAACAGGCAAUUCUGAUCUGUAAAUCCUGCAUAUUCAGGGCUUACUACAACCCACACACACACCA